rnacentral:rRNA from 1 species
CUACGGGAGGCACCAGUGGGGAAUAUUGGGCAAUGGGCGCAAGCCUGACCCAGCAACGCCGCGUGAGGGAAGAAUGUCUUCGGAUUGUAAACCUCUGUCCUUGGGGACGAAAAAAAUGACGGUACCCAAGGAGGAAGCUCCGGCUAACUACGUGCCAGCAGCCGCGGUAAUACGUAGGGAGCAAGCGUUGUCCGGAAUUAUUGGGCGUAAAGGGUGCGUAGGCGGCGCUGUAAGUCAGAUGUGAAAUCCCCGGGCUUAACUCGGGAGUUGCAUUUGAAACUACAGUGCUUGAGUAAAGAAGGGGUAAGUGGAAUUCCUAGUGUAGCGGUGGAAUGCGUAGAUAUUAGGAGGAACACCAGUGGCGAAGGCGACUUACUGGUCUUUUACUGACGCUGAGGCACGAAAGCGUGGGGAGCAAACAGGAUUAGAUACCCCAGUAGUC